rnacentral:rRNA from 1 species
AUGAUUGUUGUGCAUCAUGUCUUGUCAUGUGUGGUGUGUUUACCAUGUUGUGUGCUUCUUCUCGAUAGUUCCCGUUUCGUUGCGAUCGUGAGGAUGCGUUCGUCUACGUGUGGUUCGUCUUCGUGGCUUCAUCUUCUUCAUGGACUCAUUCUUCUUCCUUGCGGGAUUUCAGGAAAGAUGACCGUCACCCUAGAUCUCACUACUAUCAUUGCUAUGCUAGUUGCUUCGUUCUAUCGCUUUGCUGCGCUACCUAUCAUUUGCUCUUCAAGCCUCCCAAAUUGCCAUGAACCUCUAACAUUUGACACCCUUCCUAGCAAACCGUUGUUUGGCUAUGUUACCGCUUUUGCUCAGCCCCUCUUAUAG